CCACAGUGAUCCAAACAGCUACCACAGUUACCCUAACAACAAACACAUCAACAACAUCAACGACCACAGCAACUCCAACAACUACCACAACUACAAAAGCUCCGUCUGCACCUGUCCAAGUUUUUCUGUUUCUACAGUUCCUUGAACCAUAUGUACCUGAUCUCACAGACCCCACCAGCAGUGUAUAUCAAAAUCGCAAAAGACGAGUUGAAGAUACGUGUAAUAGAAUCUACAAACCAAUAUUUCCUUUCUUCAUCCGUGCCAUUGUGAUUCGGUUCAGUCUUGUUAGAGUCCAAACACGAGAGGAUAGAACUGAGGCAGAGGUAGAGCUUGUGUUCAAUCAAACAGCGCCCAAUGCACAAGUCCCAAAUAAUACUACUAUUGUUCAAACUUU